rnacentral:snRNA from 21 species
AUACUUACCUUGAUGCGACUCCCUUGCUCAUAAAGAAGGGAGCUCCGAAGAAACAGUUCGCAUUGCACUUCGCGUUCUUUGGGUCUUUGCGAAAUGCCUUAGGGCGUUUCGGCGUCGUAAUUUUUGAUUUCUUUCUAAAC